UGAGUGAAGAAGGUUUUCGGAUCGUAAAGCUCUGUUGUAAGUCAAGAACGUGUGUGAUAGUGGAAAGUUCACACAGUGACGGUAGCUUACCAGAAAGGGACGGCUAACUACGUGCCAGCAGCCGCGGUAAUACGUAGGUCCCGAGCGUUGUCCGGAUUUAUUGGGCGUAAAGGGAGCGCAGGCGGUCAGGAAAGUCUGGAGUAAAAGGCUAUGGCUCAACCAUAGUGUGCUCUGGAAACUGUCUGACUUGAGUGCAGAAGGGGAGAGUGGAAUUCCAUGUGUAGCGGUGAAAUGCGUAGAUAUAUGGAGGAACACCAGUGGCGAAAGCGGCUCUCUGGUCUGUCACUGACGCUGAGGCUCGAAAGCGUGGGUAGCGAACAGGAUUAGAUACCCUGGUAGUCCACGCCGUAAACGAUGAGUGCUAGGUGUUAGGCCCUUUCCGGGGCUUAGUGCCGGAGCUAACGCAAUAAGCACUCCGCCUGGGGAGUACGACCGCAAGGUUGAAACUCAAAGGAAUUGACGGGGGCCCGCACAAGCGGUGGAGCAUGUGGUUUAAUUCGAAGCAACGCGAAGAACCUUACCAGGUCUUGACAUCCCGAUGCUAUUCUUAGAGAUAGGAAGUUACUUCGGUACGUCGGAGACGGGUGGUGCAUGGUUGUCGUCAGCUCGUGUC
rnacentral:rRNA from 1 species